UACGAGUGCCCCAAGCGUUAUCCGGAAUUAUUGGGCGUAAAGGGUGUGUAGGUGGCGAUGUUAGUCUCUUGUCAAAUUCUUCGGCUUAACCGGGGGUCUGCAGGGGAAACGGCAUUGCUCGAGUGUGCAAGGGGUGAAUGGAACUCAUGGAGUAGGGGUGAAAUCCGUUGAUAUCAUGGGGAACACCAAAAGCGAAGGCAAUUCACUGGUGCAUUACUGACACUGAAACACGAAAGCGUGGGUAGCGAACGGG
rnacentral:rRNA from 1 species